CCUUCUCCCAUGAAAUUUCUGAUAUUGGCCAAAACCUCCUCCACUUUUCCCUCUACAUCUCAUGUCCCUCUCUUUUUCAGCCAUUAUAUCUCCCUCAUCCUUUUUUCCCCUCAUCCCACCACACCUUCAUGCACCUGUCCUUAUCCCUUCUCCUCCCACCAAAUCUCAAACUCUAAAAGUCCUCUUUCCCUAGGAUUCACUGGGUCGACUACUGGUCUGCUGCAACUGCUUCAUUUCUACAACCCAUUAUUAGAUCUAAGACUUUAAUCUGCAUCUUUGGGCUAUGUGGGCUCUGUAACUCAACGAUAAAUUUUGACCACUAUUUCUCUGGAUCUUGGUGUUGUGGCGGCAGCGACAUAUCGAGCGGAGGCGGCAGUGGCUGCUUCAUUUGUGUAGGGUUUGAUUUUAGGGUUUUUGUAAUUUGGGCGCUUUUUGUUGUUUUGGGCAUGAGCUAUUGGGCUUUUCUUUUGUUAUUACUCAGGCCUAGGUUUUCAUUUUUGGGAGCUUCUAUAGUGAGUGGAAAGUUAUAAGGGGUGUUUUUGAGGGGUAUGUAAGAGCCGUUGGAUUUCAUCCAACGGUGAGUUUUUAAAAGAGGGUGCAUGUAGAAUCGGGUUGAAAUCUACCCCGUUAGAAACCCAACUUCAGUUGUUCCCCUCUUUCCCUCUCUGUGAAAAACUGAAGAACACAAUCCUCUCUUUU
rnacentral:lncRNA from 1 species